rnacentral:tRNA from 1 species
GGGGCAGUAGCUCAGUUGGGAGAGCGCUACAUUCGCAUUGUAGAGGUCGAGGGUUCGACUCCCUUCUGCUCCA